CGGGAAAUGAAAGUGCUGCAGACUGGGGACAUAUUGAAGGAACCGAGAAGCUCAGAGCAAUUGUAAAGAGCAGUAGAAUGAGUCUCCUCCCCCAACUCUAAGCAAUUCCACAGCGUUAUGAGCAGUAAAUUAAGAUGAAGUCGGGGAAAGGUGUUCCUCAGAAGACAGCGCAGUCUGAACUUCGGUUUAACGUGAAUCUGAUGUACUGGCAGAAAACAAGGAAACGUGGCAUUGAAGAGCAACAGAAAAUGGACAAUUUCCGAUAUGGGAAGAUGUAGAUCCACUUGAAGAUCAUGAGCCAGAAGGAAAUGAAGUCUAGUGAAUUCUGAGAGAACAGAACAAUUGAUAACCAUCAUGAAGUGGUAUUAAAAGGAGGAAAAAAGUCACCUCAUAUCGAAACUGAAGCAGAUGACAUUCCCUGAAAGUUGGAAAGGCCAGUGAGGAGGCCAUGUCUGGACCCAAGGAGAGGAGAAUGAUGAGGCCAAAAUAUACCAGACAGGAGAAGGGAAGCUCACUCUAGGCUACAUGGAACAUUCCUAGAGAAAGAAAAUAAAUGUGUUAUUGAGAAAGCAAUGCUUUCCUGGAGGAAAACUUCACAUCCCUGAAGACAACAAAAAAGAAAAUUCAGAGAAAUAUUCAACCCCCAAUUAAAAUGGACAAGAAGC
ensembl:lncRNA